rnacentral:rRNA from 1 species
AGAGUUUGAUCCUGGCUCAGGACGAACGCUGGCGGCGUGCCUAAUACAUGCAAGUUGAGCGCUGAAGGUUGGUACUUGUACCAACUGGAUGAGCAGCGAACGGGUGAGUAACGCGUGGGGAAUCUGCCUUUGAGCGGGGGACAACAUUUGGAAACGAAUGCUAAUACCGCAUAAAAACUUUAAACACAAGUUUUAAGUUUGAAAGAUGCAAUUGCAUCACUCAAAGAUGAUCCCGCGUUGUAUUAGCUAGUUGGUGAGGUAAAGGCUCACCAAGGCGAU